rnacentral:rRNA from 1 species
UACGAAGGGGGCUAGCGUUGUUCGGAAUCACUGGGCGUAAAGGGCGCGUAGGCGGCUGUUCAAGUCGGGGGUGAAAUCCUGUGGCUCAACCACAGAAUGGCCUUCGAUACUGGACGGCUAGAGACCGGAAGAGGUGAGUGGAACUGCGAGUGUAGAGGUGAAAUUCGUAGAUAUUCGCAAGAACACCAGUGGCGAAGGCGGCUCACUGGCCCGGUACUGACGCUGAGGUGCGAAAGCGUGGGGAGCAAACAGG